GGACUGUGGCUCAGUGGUAGAGCACUUGCCAGGCAUGUGUGAGGCCCUGGGUUCGAUCCUCAGCACCA
rnacentral:tRNA from 1 species